GAUGAACGCUAGCUACAGGCUUAACACAUGCAAGUCGGGGGAAACGGCAUCGAAAGCUUGCUUUUGAUGGGCGUCGACCGGCGCACGGGUGAGUAACGCGUAUCCAACCUGCCCAUCACUUGGGAAUAACCUUGCGAAAGUAAGACUAAUGCCCAAUGACAUCCCACGAAGGCAUCCGAAUGGGAUUAAAGAUUUAUCGGUGAUGGAUGGGGAUGCGUCUGAUUAGCUUGUUGGCGGGGUGACGGCCCACCAAGGCAACGAUCAGUAGGGGUUCUGAGAGGAAGGUCCCCCACAUUGGAACUGAGACACGGUCCAAACUCCUACGGGAGGCAGCAGUGAGGAAUAUUGAUCAAUGGGCGAGAGCCUGAACCAGCCAAGUAGCGUGCAGGAUGACGGCCCUAUGGGUUGUAAACUGCUUUUAUAAGGGAAUAAAGUGGGUCACGUGUGACUUUUUGCAUGUACCUUAUGAAUAAGGACCGGCUAAUUCCGUG
rnacentral:rRNA from 1 species